rnacentral:rRNA from 1 species
CAGCCGCCACGGGAAUACGGAGGGUGCAAGCGUUAAUCGGAAUUACUGGGCGUAAAGCGCACGCAGGCGGUCUGUCAAGUCAGAUGUGAAAUCCCCGGGCUUAACCUGGGAACUGCAUUUGAAACUGGCAGGCUGGAGUCUUGUAGAGGGGGGUAGAAUUCCAGGUGUAGCGGUGAAAUGCGUAGAGAUCUGGAGGAAUACCGGUGGCGAAGGCGGCCCCCUGGACAAAGACUGACGCUCAGGUGCGAAAGCGUGGGGAGCAAACAGGAUUAGAUACCCCGGUAGUCCCUGUCUCUUAUAC